GUGUCAGCCGCCGCGGUAAUACGUAGGGGGCAAGCGUUGUCCGGAAUCAUUGGGCGUAAAGCGCGUGUAGGCGGCCAGGUAAGUCCGCUGUGAAAACUCGAGGCUCAACUUCGAGAUGUCGGCGGAAACUAUCUGGCUAGAGUCCGGAAGAGGAGAGUGGAAUUCCUGGUGUAGCGGUGAAAUGCGCAGAUAUCAGGAAGAACACCCGUGGCGAAGGCGGCUCUCUGGGACGGUACUGACGCUGAGACGCGAAAGCGUGGGGAGCAAACAGGAUUAGAUACCCUCGUAGUCC
rnacentral:rRNA from 1 species